rnacentral:rRNA from 1 species
GUGCAGUAGGCGAGAAACCUCCGCAAUGCUCGAAAGAGCGACGGGGGACUCCAAGUGCCUACGCUUUGCGUAGGCUUUUCCCAAGCCUAAAAAGCUUGGGGAAUAAGGGCUGGGUAAGACGGGUGCCAGCCGCCGCGGUAGUACCCGCAGCCCGAGUGGUGGCCGCUUUUAUUGGGCCUAAAGCGUCCGUAGCCGGUCUGGUAAAUGCCUGGGUAAAUCGUCUGGCUCAACCAGACGAAUUCCGGGUAGACUGCCAGACUAGGGACCGGA